UAGCCAAUAAAUCUGGUCAGAACCUAGUAAAAAAUUGUUAAAUGUCAUUAUAAUUUUACUCAACUAAAAUUGAAUAGAAUUACAUUCUAUGUAACCCAAACCAUUAGCCCCUUUCAACGACUCGCUACUAAAAGGUUAGAACCACUUUGAGACAUAUUUAAAAAAUAUAUAUUGACAAUUGAAACCUCUAAAAGAGAAAAAAA
rnacentral:lncRNA from 1 species